AGCAGCCGCGGUAAUUCCAGCUCCAAUAGCGUAUAUUAAAGUUGUUGCAGUUAAAAAGCUCGUAGUUGAAUUUCGAGAUCAAAUUGUUGGUCGUGCCUUGGUACGUACUGAUAUUAUUGGUUUCUCCCUUCUGAAGAACCAUGAUGUCAUUAAUUUGGUGUCAUGGGGAAUCAGGACUGUUACUUUGAAAAAAUUAGAGUGUUUAAAGCAGGCUCGCGCUUGAAUACAUUAGCAUGGAAUAAUGAAAUAGGACGUUUAAUUCUAUUUUGUUGGUUUCUAGGAUUGACGUAAUGAUUAAUAGGGAUAGUUGGGGGCAUUAGUAUUCAAUUGUCAGAGGUGAAAUUCUUGGAUUUAUUGAAGACUAACUACUGCGAAAGCAUUUGCCAAGGAUGUUUUCAUUAAUCAAGAACGAAAGUUAGGGGAUCGAAGACGAUCAGAUACCGUCGUAGUCUUAACCAUAAACUAUGCCGACUAGGGAUCGGAUGAUGUUAAUUUUUUAAUGACUCA
rnacentral:rRNA from 1 species